rnacentral:rRNA from 1 species
GAUGAACGCUGGCGGCGUGCCUAAUACAUGCAAGUCGAGCGAACGGACGAGAAGCUUGCUUCUCUGAUGUUAGCGGCGGACGGGUGAGUAACACGUGGAUAACCUACCUAUAAGACUGGGAUAACUUCGGGAAACCGGAGCUAAUACCGGAUGAUAUUUUGAACCGCAUGGUUCAAAAGUGAAAGACGGUCUUGCUGUCACUUAUAGAUGGAUCCGCGCUGCAUCAGCUAGUUGGUAAGGUAACGGCUUACCAAGGCAACGAUGCAUAGCCGACCUGAGAGGGUGAUCGGCCACACUGGAACUGAGACACGGUCCAGACUCCUACGGGAGGCAGCAGUAGGGAAUCUUCCGCAAUGGGCGAAAGCCUGACGGAGCAACGCCGCGUGAGUGAUGAAGGUCUUCGGAUCGUAAAACUCUGUUAUUAGGGAAGAACAUAUGUGUAAGUAACUGUGCACAUCUUGACGGUACCUAAUCAGAAAGCCACGGCUAACUACGU